rnacentral:rRNA from 1 species
ACUCCUACGGGAGGCAGCAGUGGGGAAUAUUGGACAAUGGGCGAAAGCCUGAUCCAGCAAUGCCGCGUGUGUGAAGAAGGCCUUGCGGGUUGUAAAGCACUUUCAGUGGUGAGGAAGGGUAUUAGUAUAAUGACACUAGUACAUUGACGUUAACCACAGAAGAAGCACCGGCUAACUCUGUGCCAGCAGCCGCGGUAAUACAGAGGGUGCAAGCGUUAAUCGGAAUUA